AGAUUGAACGCUGGCGGAAUGCUUUACACAUGCAAGUCGAGCGGCAGCGCGGGGCAACCUGGCGGCGAGCGGCGAACGGGUGAGUAAUGCAUCGGAACAUGUCCAUGUCGUGGGGGAUAGCCCGGCGAAAGCCGGAUUAAUACCGCAUACGCCCGAGAGGGGAAAGUGGGGGACCGCAAGGCCUCACGCGAUUGGGUUGGCCGAUGUCCGAUUAGCUAGUUGGUGAGGUAAAGGCUCACCAAGGCGAUGAUCGGUAGCUGGUCUGAGAGGAUGAUCAGCCACACUGGGACUGAGACACGGCCCAGACUCCUACGGAGGCAGCAGUGGGAAUUUUGGACAAUGGGGGAAACCCUGAUCCAGCCAUUCCGCGUGAGUGAAGAAGGCCUGGUUGUAAGCUCUUUGUCCGAACGAAACGGUUAGGUACGUAAUAAGACUGACUACUAGACGGUUACCGGAACGAAUAAAGACACCGGACGUAACCUAACGUACCCUAACGCCACGCCGACC
rnacentral:rRNA from 1 species